rnacentral:rRNA from 1 species
AUUGAACGCUGGCGGAAUGCUUUACACAUACAAGUCGAGCGGCAGCGCGGGGCAACCUGGCGGCGAGCGGCGAACGGGUGAGUAAUACAUCGGAACGUGCCCAGACGUGGGGGAUAACUACUCGAAAGAGUAGCUAAUACCGCAUAUGAUCUAAGGAUGAAAGCGGGGGAUCGCAAGACCUCGCGCGUUUGGAGCGGCCGAUGGCAGAUUAGGUAGUUGGUGGGGUAAAGGCUAACCAAGCCUGCGAUCUGUAGCUGGUCUGAGAGGACGACCAGCCACACUGGGACUGAGACACGGCCCAGACUCCUACGGGAGGCAGCAGUGGGGAAUUUUGGACAAUGGGCGAAAGCCUGAUCCAGCCAUUCCGCGUGCAGGAUGAAGGCCCUCGGGUUGUAAACUGCUUUUGUACAGAACGAAAAAGCUCUGGUUAAUACCUGGAGUCCAUGACGGUACUGUAAGAAUAAGCACCGGCUAACUACGUGCCAGCCGCCGCAGUAA